UAAAAAGUUGUAAGAGUACAAAGGCUUGGUCCUGGCCUUAUUAUUAACUGUUUCUUAACUUACACAUGCAAGUCUCAGCGCUCCAGUGAGGACAUCCUUUAGACCUCUUUCAGGUUAAAGGGUUGGCAUCAGGCACAACCACUUGCCCAUGACGCCUAGUUUCACCACACCCCCAAGGGCCUACAGCAGUGAUAAAUAUUAACUAUAAGCGACAGCUUGACUUAGUUAAAGAAUAGAGGGCCGGCCAAAUGGGUGCCAGCCGCCGCGGCUACACCUGGGGCCCAAGUUAAUAAUCAUCGGCGUUAAGCGUGAAUAAACUUGCAGAUUAGAGUUCAAUUAGCACCUUAUGAUGUUAAAAGUCUGAUGUUAAGAAAACCAAAAACGAAAGUUACUCUAACUAAAUACUUUACACGACAGCUAGGGCACAAACUGGG
rnacentral:rRNA from 1 species